CGGCCCGGCCCUGGGGAUGCAGCGAAUUUGGACAGGAAACGUCUCGAAUUGGAGCGCUUCCCUCUGCUCGUUACGAAUGCCCCGUGAGUGAUGCUCAACAUAUUCAAGUGUUGACAAGACGGCGCUGAACCCGACGCCUACACCAUGGGCAAGCCAGGCAGCGAGCGCAGACACACCUUCAUUGUCUGAAACUUGUAGUAAAACUCGGAGCGCGUUGUGAAACGCGGCUGCACAGAUGGGUGCCCGUAACCCUUCCACUGCCGGAACCUUCCCUUUGGGGAAGAUUUGGGUUGAUAACAGCAGGAAAAUCCCGGCGUCUCAAAGGGCUUCUGCAGCUCUGGGAACUUCUUUUGUAUAAAACGUGUGUUUUCGGUUGAGCUUUGCGUGGUGUAAGGAAAAAGAAAGGUGGAGAUGUGGCACUUGGGGUCAUGGUUUGGUGGGCACAGUGGGGAUGGGUCAGCGGUUGGUUUGGUGGUCUUUGCUGUCACUUCCAGCCUUAAUGGAUGUGUGAUCCUAAGGGCACAGUGGUGAUGGGUUGGGGUUGGAGUCAGUAAUCUUGGAGGUCGUUUCCAACUUCAAUGAUCCUAUGGGCACGGUGGUGACGGG
rnacentral:lncRNA from 1 species